GACGAACGCUGGCGGCGUGCUUAACACAUGCAAGUCGAACGGAAAGACCCUGCUUUUGUGGGGUGCUCGAGUGGCGAACGGGUGAGUAACACGUGAGUAACCUGCCCUUGACUUUGGGAUAACUUCAGGAAACUGGGGCUAAUACCGGAUAGGAGCUCCUGCUGCAUGGUGGGGGUUGGAAAGUUUCGGCGGUUGGGGAUGGACUCGCGGCUUAUCAGCUUGUUGGUGGGGUAGUGGCUUACCAAGGCUUUGACGGGUAGCCGGCCUGAGAGGGUGACCGGCCACAUUGGGACUGAGAUACGGCCCAGACUCCUACGGGAGGCAGCAGUGGGGAAUAUUGCACAAUGGGCGGAAGCCUGAUGCAGUAACGCCGCGUGCGGGAUGAUGGCCUUCGGGUUGUAAACCGCUUUCGCCUGUGACGAAGCGUGAGUGACGGUAAUGGGUAAAGAAGCACCGGCUAACUACGUG
rnacentral:rRNA from 1 species